rnacentral:rRNA from 1 species
CCUACGGGAGGCAGCAGUGAGGAAUAUUGGUCAAUGGACGAAAGUCUGAACCAGCCAAGUAGCGUGAAGGAUGACUGCCUUAGGGGGUGUAACCUCUUUUUACAAAGGAAAAUAAUGACGCACGUGGUCCUCUUUGCAUGUACGUUAUGAAUAAGGAUCGGCUAACUCCGUGCCAGCCGCGCCGGUAAGAUGGGGGAUGCAAGCGUUAUCUGGAUUUUUUGGGUUUAAAGGGGGCGUAGCCUGUGAGGUAAGUCAGCGGUGAAAUGCCCCCGCCCAACGGGGUGAAGUGCCUUUGAUACUGCCUUGCUGGAAUGCGGAUGCCGUGAGAGGAAUGUGUGGUGUAGCGGUGAAAUGCAUAGAUAUCACACAGAACACCGAUUGCGAAGGCAUCUCACGAAUCCGCGAUUGACGCUGAUGCACGAAAGCGUGGGUAUCAAACAGGAUUAGAUACCCUAGUAGUC